UCUUAUAGAAGAGCAAAGAAAGUGGUUUCCUGAGAUGGACUCUACUCUUGGUGACGAUGCUGUGAA
rnacentral:pre_miRNA from 1 species